ACAGAUAUACCUCAGAUACACUCUAUAUACAAUGCUCAUAUUUUCUCUUUCAUUUUAAGCAAUACACAAACUAAAAAGGACUCUACUUCAACCAGGAGCCAAGAUAAUUGUUAAGGGUUUGCUAACCCUUGACACUCAAAACAUGGGAUAAGAGGUUUUAGAUAACGUCAGAUUGUAAAGGUUGAUUGAUAUAUUGGAAGUUAAUUGUAAAGAUUUUGAAGCCUUAAGGUGUAAGGCUUAGAUAGUGAAAUUCUCAAGUCCGAUGAGCUUGGAGGGGUGGACAUAUGCGAAGUUUGCCGAACCACGUAAAAAUUCCUUGUUCGGUUCUCUUUCCCUUCCCUCUCUAUAUUUUGAUUAUUGAUAUUAAUUUGAUUAUCAUUUAUUUAAGUUUAUCUUAUAUUUGCAUUCAUUUUGUUUUAAUUAUUUCAUAAGUUUUAGAAAUUCAAUUCACCCCUUCUUGGGUUGCAUAGCCAGUAUUUCAACAUCCUUUAUUCUUUCUAAAUUUCAUGAACAGUCCAAUUAGGGAGCACUCCUCAAUUACAUUAGGCACCAUAUCCCAUCAAAUACAAAUAUAUUAUGUUUAGCUUCUUUUUUUUUUCCCCUAAAAUCUAGUCAAAACAUAAAGUUUGGUAAAUAUUUCAUUUAGGCACUAAUUUUGCGACCUAAAUGAAAAUUAAUUCGUUUCCAUUUUCAUUUGCUUAUACUAUUAUAAAUUAAUUUGAUAUUAUUAUAUUCAUUUUUUACCAUAAUGUUACAUAAAAUUAAUAACCUAAUUUGUAUCACAACUACAUAUGUAUCUUUCAUCUUUUUGGGGACAAUUAUGUCCAAAUAAUAUACAUUUUAGUCAUGUAAUCAAAGGACAUAAUUGUUCAAAGGUAUAUAUUAUAGUUGGAUAAAAACUACCCUUAUAUUAAUAAGUAGAGAUAUGAAUCGCUCUAUAUGCAUCGUGGGAUUGAUUUUUUCCAAAUACUUGAAAAUAAAUUUAGUUCAAUGUGGGUCUAGAUAUUCCGAUUGCACUGCAUGAUCAAAAAGUUCAUAAAAUAUUCCUAUAAUUUUUUUAUGUAAACUAAUAAAAUUUAUAAUGUUAAAACAAUAAAAUUUAUAAUGCAAUAUUAAAAAUUACAAUCAAUUAAUAAUUGAUUUUAUUAACAUAGAUUUAAAUAUUGUUCUCAUUAGUAUAAAUGUCUCAUAUUUUAGUAUAUUUUCAUGUUAUAUAAAAAAUAAAAAAGUACAUUUCCAUGUAAAGUUGAGGAGGUAUUUGGUACUUGGUAGUUUUCUAGUUUGGAUUAACAAGUUUACUAUUUACUUAAAGUGAGGGUUGCUUUAUGAUAGUUACCAUUAUUAUUUGUUGCUUUAUCUUUGGACAUACUAUUGACUUUGGCGCCUUUGGUAUGAGAAGAAGGAAAUGGUAAAAAAGGGACACCAGUUCUAGCUAGCGAGCCAACUCCGACGCUCAAGCUAAUAAUAGGAUUCUUUAAGGUUUACAUUGGAUUUUAAGACAAAUAAUAAUGUUUUUUGAGCUUAAGCAUAUAUAUGUAGAUGAGAAGAAAAUAAGAGAGCGAUGAAUGAAUAUAAGUGAUAGGGAGCUAAGAGGUUGUGUGUGUUUGGUGGUGGGGGGGGGGGGGUGUGGUGAAGAAGAAAGAGCCCAAAAAGGCCCCUUUAAUAUGUACAUGUGAAGCCUUAUAUAGUUGAGUUUUCCUCCUUGAUUCAUCUACUGUCCUAGAGGCUAAAAGACCUAUUUAGCUUGUUCAAGUGAUUUGUGUAAGUCACUCUUUUCUUCAUGAGUCAAACGAGAUAUUUGUUUCCUUGUUAAUAGAGAAAAAGGAAUAUUCCCAUAAUAUAUUCCUCAUGGUUUAUUCAUAGCUCAUCUCUUGAAAAUAUAUCUAGUUUCAUUAGUUAUUAAGAUUUCUUGAUAAGAUUUGUUAUAAUUGUAGGGAAAAAUCCGGUUUUUAAAUUUUUAUAAAACCUUUUAAGGACCGCUCUCAUAUAAUAUAUAGGAAUACGUAAUCUAGAAAUCGUACCUUGAAAAUCCGAUUGGACUUUUUCCGUUGAAGUAAUUUAGGCUCCUAGAUCACGAUCCGCCACCACCACUCCUGUUAGAUCACGAUCCGUCACCACCACGCUUGUUAGAUCACGAACUGUCUCCAAUGAUCUUCCAGGCUAUGACUCAGGUUCGAUCUGCACUUGACGUGUGGGCGCCUUUAUCACUACCAAAGCAACUAGCACGAGAAAAUUUUUCUCUCAACAAUAGAGAGAAAAAUCUUAUUCUCCAAUUUGUAUAAAGUGGCUUCUACCUUUUUUUAGGAAAAAAUAAACCUUAUAUAUCUCCCUUUAGUGAAAACCCUAGGCUCCAAAUAAUGCCCUAAAUAAAACUCACGUUUAUUUGCUUUUUCAAUAGGGGACCCACCUUGUAAAAUAACAUAAGGCCCCUUAUACAAAAGCUAAUUAAAUGGAGCCUCCCACUAAAUGAUAUAUUUAGGUUUUUGACCCAAAUAGCUAGUUAUCUUACUUAUUAGUCCAGUAGUGGUGCAGUCAAUUAAAUGAGCUAACCCGGGGAUCAUUUGGGAACAUACAAUAGUGGCUACAAUAAUUAGGCCUGUAAUUAAACUAGCACAAUUAUUUAAUUCCAAAUCUACUCCACUAAAAGAUUGGAACUGACUUCCAUAAUUGUAUGCUCGAAUAAUAAUUCGUCCCAAGCCACAUUGAUUUCUUUACUGCACAAUCCUUUGUACCACAUCGUUAAUUAAAUUGAUAUCUCAACUGUCCAAUCAAUUUAAUAACAUCUUAUUCCUUGAUCCUUACUGGUUUUCUCUAAUGAUCAUUUUCAACAUACUAAAUAUGUUGACACACUCUGGCCAGAGAAUUCUAUGAUCAGGUGCCGAAAACCCAUCAAGAGAUGUGUUGUAUAAAUUCUAUAUUGUUAAUCCAUAACUCCAAUACUCAUAAUUGCUCCCACCAAGAUACCGGGUAAUCUUGACCACAAGGAUGUGUCGUGCCCAUUGGUAACUCAAAUGAAAUAACAAUCACAAUCAUGAAAUCAUAAUUAACUCAAGAUUAAGAUUACAAUAAAAUCAACGCCUAUGAGAUUUAAUAAGUCUGACAGUUAUUACAAAGUUAAUUAAAUCUCAUAUGUGAUCCUGUUCAAUGUAGUCGCACUACAUCAAUAAAUUCAUACAUGAUUAAGACAAAUCAUUCAAUGAAUUUAUUACAGUCUAAACCUAAAUAAAGUGCCCAACUUUAUUUAUCAACUGCGAACUACGUUUAUUUAAUCAUAAGAUAACUUGUAUUUAUGUCUUCUGUGAAUCCACAUGGUGAUCACAUAAAUACAUAUAAUAUGAUUAAAUGGACUUUAAUACAAAUAUAAAUGCAAUUAAGAUAUUUGAAUAAAAUACCUCAUUUAUUUUAUUAAUCAGAAAAAUUGUUUAUUACAAUUAAAUAAACACAUAUGCUUUUAAAGAGCAUAUUUUCCCAACAAUCUCCCACUAGCUCUCAAAGCAUAUUUGGCAUCUCACGCAUGCCCAUGGAAUCUAAGUGCGAGUUAAAAGGUUUCCCAGGUAUGGCCUUAGUAAAAGGAUCUGCCAAGUUUUGCUGUGACGCAAUCUGAGUAACCUCCACAUCACCUCUCUGCACUAUAUCCCUUAUAAGAUGAUACUUCAUCUCAAUAUGUUUUUGUUUCUUGUGGUUCCUUGGUUCCUUAGAUUGAGCUACCGCACCACUAUUAUCGCAAAAUAGUUUCAAGGGUGCAGUUACAGCAGGUACCACCUCAAGAUCUUGUAGGAACUUGCGGAGCCAUACAGCUUCUUUUGCAGCUUCGGAUGCAGCCACAUAUUCAGCUUCAGUUGUGGAGUCCGCGAUACAAGAUUGUUUCACACUCCUCCAACUAAUAGCUCCACUUCCCAAUGUAAACACAUAGCCGGAAGUUGAUUUUCUGGAAUCCUUAUCUGACAUAAAGUCAGAAUCAGUAUAACCCACUGGAAUGAGUUCAUCACCAGAAUACACAAGCAUAUAAUUUUUAGUUCUUUUCAGAUACUUCAUUAUAUGCUUGACCGCAGUCCAGUGUUCAGGUCCAAGAUUAGAUUGAUAUCUACUAACCAUCCCUACCGCAAAACAGAUGUCUGGCCUAGUGCAAAGCAUGGCAUACAUGAGACUUCCCACAGCUUCUGCAUAGGGAACUCGUCUCAUUCUCUCUAUCUCUUCAGAUGUUUUAGGUGAUUGAUCCUUAGAGAAUGUAAUUCCAUGUCUGAAUGGUAAUAAACCAGUCUUGGAAUUUUUCAUGCUAAAUCUAGCCAAUAUCUUAUCGAUAUAGACCGCUUGAGACAAGGCUAAAGUUUUAUUCUUCCGGUCUCGUAGUAACUUGAUACCAAGAAUAUAACUUGCCUCUCCCAGGUCUUUCAUAUCAAAUUGUUUUGCUAACCAACUCUUUAUUGUAGUCAAUACUCCUAUAUCGUUUCCAAUUAGGAGAAUAUCGUCUACAUAAAGAAUUAGGAAUGCUACAGAUUUUUCUUGAAUUUUCUUGUACACACAUGGUUCAUCAAUGUUCUGAAUGAAUCCAAACGAUUUAAUCGCUUGAUCAAAUCUGAUGUUCCAUGACUGGGAUGCUUGCUUCAAUCCAUAAAUGGAUUUCUGCAACUUACAUACCAUGUGUUCUUGGCCUCUUUGUAUAAAUCCAUCUGGUUGCUGCAUGUAGAUGUUUUCUUCAAGAUGCCCGUUAAGAAAGGCAGUCUUGACAUCCAUUUGCCAAAUUUCAUAAUCUAGCACUGCAGCAAUGGAGAGCAGAAUCCUGAUGGAUUUAAGCAUAGCAACCGGAGAAAAAGUUUCCUCAUAAUCGAUUCCCUCUUUCUGAGUAAACCCUUUGGCUACUAAUCUUGCUUUAAAUGUUUCUACCCUUCCGUCUACUCCUCUUUUUCUCUUGUAGAUCCACUUGCACCCUAUAGGUUUUACCCCAUUUGGUGCCUCUACAAGUUUCCAGACUUUAUUGGAAUACAUAGAUUCCAUUUCUUGAUUCAUGGCCUUUUUCCAAAAUUCAACAUCUCUAUCUAUUAGAGCUUCGUUGUAACUAGUGGGAUCUUGUACAUGUUCAUCUGAGAUAGCCGUAUAGGUUUCUCCCAAAAGCAUGUAUCUCGCAGGUAACCUAGUUACCCUCCCACUACGACGAGGUUCUAAAAGUGAUGGUUGUUCAGGGUUAAUCCUGUGUUGAUCAUCUGGUUGUUGCUGUUCUUCCUGUUCUGUAACAGGCAUUGAAAGCUGAGCAUCAACCUGAUCACCUGACAGUUCUUCAAGUAUUACCUUACUCUUAGGUUUGAAGUUAUUCAUAUAGUCUUCCUCAAGAGAAGUGAAAUGUGUGCUCACGAUCACUUUCCUAUCUUGAGGACUAUAAAAUAAACCUCCCCUUGUUCCUUUGGGAUACCCCACAAACAUACAAACCUCAGAACGUGAAUCCAUUUUGUCUGCCUUUGGUUUCAGCACAUGUGCUGGUGAUCCCCAAAUACGGACAUGUCGUAAACUUGGUUUGCGACCUGACCAUAAUUCUAUUGGGGUUUUAGGCACUGACUUAGAUGGAACUAAGUUCAAAAGGUAAACUGCAGUUUCCAGUGCUAGUCCCCAAAAAGAGAUUGGUAAUGACGAAUAACUAAGCAUAGAUCUCAUCAUAUCCAAAAGAGUUCUAUUUCUUCUUUCAGCUACCCCAUUUUGUUGUGGUGUUCCCGGGGCAGUCAAUUGAGAUAUAAUCCCAUUUUCAACCAGAUACUCUUUGAAAUCUCCUGAGAGAAAUUCACCACCUCAAUCAGAUCGAAGUUUCUUUAUGUUCUUAUCUAAUUGCUUUUCUGUCUCAGCCCUAUACUCUUUGAAUUUCUCAAGAGCUUCAGACUUAUGACGCAUCAGAUAAACAUAACCGUAUCUUGAGUAAUCAUCAGUAAAAGUGAUGAAAUACUCAUAACCUCCUCGAGCUUGUACAUUGAUUGGUCCACAUACAUCUGUAUGUACCAAUUCAAGUGGUACUGUUGCACGUACUCCUUUGGCCGAGAAUGGCCUUUUGGUCAUUUUCCCUUCUAAACAGGAUUCACAGAGUGGCAAUGAUUCAUUUUCUAAUGGACCCAAGAGCCCAUCUUUGAUCAUUCUCUGUAUCCUAUUUUGGUUUAUAUGACCCAAGCGUAAAUGCCAGAGGUAACAUUGGUUGGAAGAAAUAUUUCUUUUCUUAGAUAAAUGUGUAUGCUCAUCAUUAUUUAUCACUGUGUCAUGGAUAGAAUGGAUCAUUGGACUUAAAUGAUAUAAAUUAUCUUCCAAUGUACCAGAACAAAUAAGUCUCUUAUUACGAAAAAUAGAAACAGAGGAUCCAAAAUUUACAGUGUACCCUUGCUUUGACAAUCAAGCUACUGAAAUUAAAUUCCUCUUAAUGUCUGGAACAUAAAGACAAUUAUUCAAAACUAAAGUCUCAUUAUUAAAAGAUAAUAAAACAGAUCCAAUCUUUACUGCUGACACGAACUGUCCUGUCCCUAACUGCAGCUUGACGCUUCCUUCACUUAUUUUCCUGGUUUCCUAAAACCAAUAAAGUGAAUUACAAAUAUGAUUAGUUGCUCCUGAAUCCAACACCCAAGUGUCAAUAGGAUUCUGAACUAAACAGGCCUCAAUUGCAAAAAGAUUUCCCAUACCUGAUUUCACAAUCUUAGGGCAAUCCUUUUUCCAGUGACCUUUCUGUCCACACUUGAAGCAUUUGCCUUUCGGCUUGCCAUCUUGCUUGGUAGACGGUCUCUUUUUCCCAGCUUUCUUCUUACCUUUGCCUUUCGGUUUAGGCCCAGAAGAUGAACUUUUUUCAGUAAUAUUUAUGCUUCCCAGAAAUUUCUCAGCACGAUAGAUCUCUUCAGCAGAAUGGAGUUCGUUCAUCAAUUCAGUUAAGGUCAUGUUUCUUUUGUUCAUGUUAUAAUUGACCUUAAACUCCUUGAAUGUUUCUGGCAGAGAUUCUAGCACUAUGUCAAUCUUUGAGUUAUCAUCGAUUUGUGCUCCCUGAAUCUCAGCCUCAUUCAAAUAGUCCAUCAUUUUGAGGACAUGAUCACGAACUCUUGUGCCCUUCCCCAUUUUACUGUUUAUAAUUCCUUUCAGCGCUGCUUGUCUCGCAGAGCGAGUACUCUGCCCGAACAUCUGUUGGAGACUAUCCAUUAUUUCAGUGGCAGUCUCCAAGUUCUGAUGUUUGGUCUGCAGAAUAUUAGAAAUCGAUGCUAAAAUGUAGCACUUUGCCAUUUCAUUGGCCUUUUGCCAUUUCUCAUAAAGCCUCCUCUGAUUUCUAUGAGCAUCAUCCGCUGGAACUGGGGGGCAUGGCUGGGUUAAGACAUAUUUAUAAUUUUCAGCAGUCAGGACAAUAAAUAGAUUUCUUUUCCAAUCUAUAUAGUUCUCUCCAGUGAGUUUGUUUUGACUCAGAAUAAUAGUAAGUGGGCUCAGGGAAGACAUUUUCUGAAAAAUAAAACAUCCAUGCAUAAAUAAUUUGAAAUAAUAUUCACAAUAAAUGACAAAAAUGCAUAAAACCAUAAAUGCAUUUUAAUUUAUUGUAACGAUAAUCUAGUUCCGCUUUGACAAGCUAUCCGGUGGGGAAGUCAUGUCUAUACUUACUAGACCCAAUUACCCAUUGGAUUAUUUACUUUCAUGUAGAGACAUGAUAAAUAACUAUCGUUAUCCUUUUGGGCCUAAAUUUGUUAACAGAGCUUCGUUGGGAAGAUUAAUAACAAAUUUUAGUUGAGUGUAUAACCAUUGUUUCAAUCUAGAUAUUUUUCAUUUCAAUAGUCACCGUUGGGGUGAACAAUCGAUUGAAAAAUAUUUCAAUUUUAUCUUUGAAGAAGUUCAUCAAAUAAAAUAUCUAAUAUAUAUAUCCUCCGAAGGGAGCAUCACCGUAUCAUGAAGUCGAGGUAUAUAUAUAAUUUUAUUAUUGAACUAACAAUGGAGCCCGUGGGAAAAUUAUCUUAAAUUUUCCCUCUCCCACUUAAUAUUUUAAAAUUGGUUUUUCCUUUUUAAAACAUACAUAUUGUUAAUUGUAUGCUUCCUAUAAUAUUAUCUAGAUGAUAUCAAAUAUUAUUAAGCAUAUGCAAAUUUCAAACAAUAUAAUGAGAUUCAUUAUUAAUGAAUGACAUGUAUCAUUAUGCAUAGAGUGGCACUACCUAUUCUAUAUGACAUAUUAUCAUGGCAUGUUAUCAUCCAAAACAUAACAUAUAGAAAAACAAUUAAAUAAUCUUAAUUCAUGGCUUUCCUAAUAAUGAAAAAUACAUUAACCCUAAGCCUAAUCUUCAUUGGGCUUCUUGUCAAUGUCCAUCUUCCAUAAUCUUGUCUUUGUUAAUGGACUAGGGGAAAUUGAGCUUUUAAAUUUAUAAUUGGUCCAAUUUUAAUUUUGAAAAGAAAUAAAUAAAUAAUUAAUUUUUUUUAUUAAAAUAAAACUUUUGGACCAAAAAUAAAUUUAAUGUAUUUAAUUUUGUCUAUGCAUUUUUUUUUUUAAUCCAUUAAGCCCAAUUGAAAUUGGGCCUAAAACUAGGAUUCUUUAAGCCCAAAACGGUUUUUGGACUUAAAUGCAAAAAAUUAAAAACGUUUCUGCCCAACUGAAAAAUAUGAAGCUAUAGGGACCUCCACGAUAAAAACCAUGGAACCCUAAAAUCACAUUUUUCUUUUCCUCUUCUUCCCCAGCCGCCACCAGCACAAAAACCCAGCCGUUGUUUACUGUUUCCACACCGGACAGCCAUCAUCGACGCCGGAAAGACGCCAACCAGAACGCUCCACGCCUCCAGCCCACGUUCACGCUGCUGCUUGGGCGCUGCAGCUGCUGCUCGCGCGCUGCAGUUGCUGCAUGUGCAGCGCGCGCUGCAGCUGCUGCGUGUGCAGCUUGCGCUGCUAGCAGCGUGGCUGCUGGCCGCUGUGCGUGCAGCGCGUGCUGCUGGCAGCUUGUGCUGCUGGCCGCUAGCUGCUCGCGCAGCAGCGUAUGCUGCUGGCCGCUCGCUGCUGCGUGCGCUGGUUCGUUGCUGCAGUUUCCAGCAAGUUUCCGCAAUUUUCCAGUGAUGAUUCUUCAUUGAUUUACAAAAUUUUAAUUACAUUAAAAUAAAUCAAGAGGGAAACAUGGUGAUAAUAAACCACCCCUCUUGUUACAGAUCCAAAUGAAAAAUACAGUAAAACAUCUAACCAUGAAUUAAGACAAACCAAAACAUGCUUUAUUCAUAUAUUAAACAAAUAAUAUAUAUCUGAAUAAAUUGUGCCACUCUAAUACAUAAAUUUCAAAAAUGAUUUCAUACGAAAUUCUUAUAUAUUAAUAUGAGAUGUCUCUGAUACCAAUUGUAGGGAAAAAUCCGGUUUUUAAAUUUUUAUAAAACCUUUUAAGGACCGCUCUCAUAUAAUAUAUAGGAAUACGUAAUCUAGAAAUCGUACCUUGAAAAUCCGAUUGGACUUUUUCCGUUGAAGUAAUUUAGGCUCCUAGAUCACGAUCCGCCACCACCACUCAUGUUAGAUCACGAUCCGUCACCACCACGCUUGUUAGAUCACGAACUGUCUCCAAUGAUCUUCCAGGCUAUGACUCAGGUUCGAUCUGCACUUGACGUGUGGACGCCUUUAUCACUACCAAAGCAACUAGCACGAGAAAAUUUUUCUCUCAACAAUAGAGAGAAAAAUCUUAUUCUCCAAUUUGUAUAAAGUGGCUUCUACCUUUUUUUAGGAAAAAAUAAACCUUAUAUAUCUCCCUUUAGUGAAAACCCUAGGCUCCAAAUAAUGCCCUAAAUAAAACUCACGUUUAUUUGCUUUUUCAAUAGGGGACCCACCUUGUAAAAUAACAUAAGGCCCCUUAUACAAAAGCUAAUUAAAUGGAGCCUCCCACUAAAUGAUAUAUUUAGGUUUUUGACCCAAAUAGCUAGUUAUCUUACUUAUUAGUCCAGUAGUGGUGCAGUCAAUUAAAUGAGCUAACCCGGGGAUCAUUUGGGAACAUACAAUAGUGGCUACAAUAAUUAGGCAUGUAAUUAAACUAGCACAAUUAUUUAAUUCCAAAUCUACUCCACUAAAAGAUUGGAACUGACUUCCAUAAUUGUAUGCUCGAAUAAUAAUUCGUCCCAAGCCACAUUGAUUUCUUUACUGCACAAUCCUUUGUACCACAUCGUUAAUUAAAUUGAUAUCUCAACUGUCCAAUCAAUUUAAUAACAUCUUAUUCCUUGAUCCUUACUGGUUUUCUCUAAUGAUCAUUUUCAACAUACUAAAUAUGUUGACACACUCUGGCCAGAGAAUUCUAUGAUCAGGUGCCGAAAACCCAUCAAGAGAUGUGUUGUACAAAUUCUAUAUUGUUAAUCCAUAACUCCAAUACUCAUAAUUGCUCCCACCAAGAUACCGGGUAAUCUUGACCACAAGGAUGUGUCGCGCCCAUUGGUAACUCAAAUGAAAUAACAAUCACAAUCAUGAAAUCAUAAUUAACUCAAGAUUAAGAUUACAAUAAAAUCAACGCCUAUGAGAUUUAAUAAGUCUGACAGUUAUUACAAAGUUAAUUAAAUCUCAUAUGUGAUCAUGUUCAAUGUAGUCGCACUACAUCAAUAAAUUCAUACAUGAUUAAGACAAAUCAUUCAAUGAAUUUAUUACAGUCUAAACCUAAAUAAAGUGCCCAACUUUAUUUAUCAACUGCGAACUACAUUUAUUUAAUCAUAAGAUAACUUGUAUUUAUGUCUUCUGUGAAUCCACAUGGUGAUCACAUAAAUACAUAUAAUAUGAUUAAAUGGACUUUAAUACAAAUAUAAAUGCAAUUAAGAUAUUUGAAUAAAAUACCUCAUUUAUUUUAUUAAUCAGAAAAAUUGUUUAUUACAAUUAAAUAAACACAUAUGCUUUUAAAGAGCAUAUUUUCCCAACAAUAAUCUCAUCUGUUGAGGAAAAAGACAAAACAGUGGGCAGAGAUCAAUAAAGAUCACCUCAAAUAUUUUCUCAAGAUAGAGAUAAUCUCAGAUAUUUUUCUUGAUGUAAAGAUCACCUUAGGAGCUUUCAAAAUGGUUACCUCGGUCUUUAAGAUAUUUUCACAUUUAGCUAUUGAGUAUAUUUACCACAUGUCCUAUUUCUUUGAUAUCCACGAAUGGCAUAUUCUUUAGGUAUAACAUUACCGUUAAUGAAAAUUAUUAUUGAACAACGUAUUAACAUGCACAGAACAUUUUUGGGACAAAAGAAAGGACAAAAUAUUCGAAUGUUUUCUAAGUCUCAUACUCAAAUUCAUAAAAGAUAAUAGAUAAGGAUUAAUAUAUCAUUUUUUUAAUAUAUAACAAUAUUAUGAAAAUUUACAGAUAAAGAUAAAAUAGUUAAAGCAUUUGAUAGUUCACAAUAGGCAAAAGGCUCAAUUCAUAUAAGUGAUUAUAAUUAAAAAAGAAAAAGAAAACAACACAAUUAGUAUAAUUUGAAAAUAAGAAUUUACAAAAAUUGAAUCGAUCAAUCUUUGUAAAUCUAUACCAAUGAUAGAGACAAUCAAUAAUUUUUAUUUAUUAAUUUAUUUCCAUCACUAUUCUAUUCUUCUUGAGAAAAAUUUUUAGAAUACAUUAGAAAUACUACACUCAAUUAAUGCAUAUAUAUCACGUGUAGUUUAAUUAAAUAUAACUACUGAUUUUACAUGGUUAAUUUUUAAAAUAAAUGCACUCAUGGUAUAUAUGCAUUAAUUGGGUAUAGUAUCUCUGAUAAACUUAGAAUCUCUCAUUCCUACUGUAUGUGGUAUAAUAUAAGAGAGAAAGAAACUUAAUCAAGCUCCACUGUCCAUCCCAUCUCGUCUUCAAUACAGCCGGAUUGAAUUCCUGUUAGAAUUUCAUAUAGCUUUUGACCCACAGUCCCUACUCCUCUUUUAUACUCAGUCCUGCGUUCAGAGAAAAUAAAUAUUAUUUGUUGUAAAUUAAUAUGGAUUCAAUCUAUAAUCCCAUGUAAUUAAAACACUAAUAAUGUUGUUUUAAACCUUUUAUCUUGAUAGGUUAUGCUAUUAACUGGAUUAACCACCACUGCGGUUCCCGUACAAAAAACUUCUUCAGCAUCAAAUAAUUCCUCCACCAAAAUGGCUCGUUCUUCAACCUAAUCAAAGUUGAAUGUGAUUAUUGAGUUGAUAACAUCUCUUUAUACAUGUAUGUAUGUACGAGUGUGUGUGUAGAAUCUAGUUCAUGUAAAAAAUUAGUAAAUAAAGAAUGGCAAAAAUAAAGAGAUACCUGAUAACCUAGAACUCGAG
rnacentral:lncRNA from 1 species